AUUGAACGCUGGCGGCAGGCCUAACACAUGCAAGUCGAGCGGAGCGGCGGACGGGUGAGUAAUACCUAGGAAUCUGCCUGGUAGUGAGGGAUCACGUUCGGAAACGGACGCUAAUACCGCAUACUAUCAGAUGAGCCUAGGUCGUAUUAGCUAGUUGGUGAGGUAAUGGCUCACCAAGGCUACGAUCCGUAACUGGACUGAGAGGAUGAUCAGUCACACUGGAACUGAGACACGGUCCAGACUCCUACGGGAGGCAGCAGUGGGGAAUAUUGGGCAAUGGGCGAAAGCCUGAUCCAGCAAUGCCGCGUGAGUGAAGAAGGUCUUCGGAUUGUAAAGCACUUUAGGUUGGGAGGCGGUACCGACAGAAUAAGCACCGGCUAACUCUGUGCCAGCAGCCGCGGUAAUUC
rnacentral:rRNA from 1 species